UUGAGCUCUGGCUUUGGAGUCAAAACGAUUGGACCUCAAGUCUCAGUUCUGCCACUUACUAGCUGGGCCCUUUCCAAGUUACCCAAUCUCUCAAUACCCCAGUUUUGAAAAUGGGGACUUCAAGUUCAAGUUAGAGAAUUGUGAUGAAAAUGGAAUGAGAUAACGCAUGCAAAAUGUCUAAGCAUGACUGAGCCUGGUGUGCUCACAGUAUCCUGUUUGGUGGAAGCCUGCUGAGUCUAUUGGCAGAGGGAAGCCAUUGCAACUUAUGACAGCAUACAAGAUCCUAAAGCCCUGCAGCUCCCUGGAGCCAUCUUCUGGAGUAAACAGACUCUGCAACAUCAUCCACUUGCCUCCACCCCCUGCCAUAGCCCUCACCUGAGGAUGCUGUGGGCAACUGCAGGUCUCCGCCCUCCAGGCUGCUGCUGCCAGACCCCGAUACCUCCACACUUGUGUAGAAGCCCCUGCUCCCCAGGGCUCCUGCCAUCCUGCUGAACACCCUCUGCCCCUCCUAGGAAGGGAGCAGAGAAAGUCAUGUGUGUCUGCAACGAUGGGUUCGCAGGAGAUGGUCAGAUCCACUAGGGAAGCAUCUGCAUCUGCCUGGCUCACCACAUGGUAAAGCUAAUAAACAGUAAC
rnacentral:lncRNA from 1 species